ensembl:lncRNA
CCCAAGGCAGGGACCUGGCAGAGGAUGUGACUGAGACUCCAAGGGCCUGCAGCUCCAGCACCAUUGAACGCUCUGGUGAGCCUGAUAUCUUUCAACUCCCUGUGCAUGGCCGAGAAAACCAAGCACAGCUCCACUGGCCAUAGACUUCAUUGACUGGCGCCAGGACCAAACACUCGGGGAUCGGAUUAAAUCAGCUCACCACAUAGAAACCAGCAAAGACCCAUUGACCAGCAUGAAGAUCCAGAGCUUCUCACCUCCUGCCGUGAUGUCAUAUGAGCUCCCUGCCAAACACAGCGCCAUUUUGAAGGAGGAGGAGCGAGAGGGGAGAAAGAGCUCUGGCAGGGAAGUGAACUUUAAGUUGAUUGAAUAUUUACUUGGAAGAGACUUUUUAAUCUAAAAGAGAUUAUUAUAAACCAAAAGAGCCUGAGGUAACUUUAACUGCAAGACCAAGUGUUGCUGUUAUUCUGGCUAUCUAGGAAAACAAAGUGUUGGCACCACGUCAUCUUGAUUACGAUAGUUUCCUGUGCCAGGGAAACAGUUAAUCAGGAAGUAAACGCACAGCAGCUGGCACUCGAUCCGCCUUCGACUCACUUGUCAACACUUCGUAGCCUCUUUGGAGAGGCCUGUGGAAAGGUGAACUGAGAGGUAUAAUCCUUUUGCCCCGGGGAGGCCAGGAGUUUUUUUCCCCUUAGUACACCGGUCACUUACGAAACAGCAGUUGCAAUCUAUCAGGAAAAUGCAGCAUUCUGACAAGCUCACCAAAACAGGUCUUACCUCAGAGAGUGGUGGCCAAGAGCGUGUUGGGAAACCUGGCUUUCUGCUCAGCUGGGCGUCCCUGAGCAAGUCGCCUGGCUUCUCUAGGCUUCUGUAUCCUUUCUAAACCAUGCUAAUCGCUUCACCGGAUAAAAGAAUUCCUCCACCCAGUAGGGAGAAAGCAAAAGAGAAAAGCACAUUAAUCCCCCCAAUUAUGAUUCCUGUUACAAUAGCUGUGGACUUCUUGAUGGGCAAACGCAAUUCCCUCAAAGCAUUUGCUUAAUGUUCUUUUAGGGAAGGGAAGGGAAAAGAAGGAAGGAAAUUAAUAUUUUGAAGAUAAUAACUAAUUAUCUCCUGUUUUGAUAGGGUAGAGAAAGGAAAAUUUGCUUUGAACUGAAAUGGAAAUAGUUUUGAGCAUUCUGAGAGAGGCUGUGUACAGACUUGGGAAUCGGAGGAAGGAAGGGUAAUUGUGCCAAAGACGAAGAGAUGAACUAAAUGACCUCUGGAACCUCUUCUAACUCACUCUCCUGCUCUCCUAACCCCGAGAAGGCUCCGAGAUGUUAGUGCCAUCUUUUCCAGAGUCCAGUGUGUGUGGUCAAAGGGGCCACACUCAGCAUGGUGGCCUCUGUGAGAGUGGGGACAUUAUAGGGCCAAGAAGUCAUUGGUUCAACAGAGAGUCUGUGAAAUCCUUCCCAACAAGAUGACUCAAGUUCUGUAAACUUCAGGAGACUCAAAGGAAUCUGGGAAGAAGAAAGCCAGAAAGGCAGCAGAGAUUCCUUUAUCCCUGGUGAUUGGGAAGCUGAGAGGACUUUGCUCAGAGUGAACCAACUCCGCCACAGGGCCUGCUUCAUGACUCUCUGGGGCUGCUAGACAGGGCUCCCAAACAAAGCUCUCCUGGUUUCUCCAAACCUCAGUUUCCUCAUCCACAGAAAGAGGGCAUUGGUAUCUACCUCCUAUAUUUAUUGAGCAGGUUACAUGAGAUAACAUCGAUCUAGCAUCUAGCACAGGGCCUGGCACGUAGCAAGUUAGUACAUGGGAGCUGUUUUUAUGACAUUAUUUUUAGUGAAACUCUGAAAGAAACAACACAGGGAAGGCAGAGUGGAAAAACCUGCAAGAGGAUCCUCUGGUCUAUGAAAUAAACAAAAGAUUGCUUUGUAUGGCUUUUUUCCUCCUCUGGGUAAAACCAAGGAGCAAAGAUACCAUUCUAAAGUUGUGGUCCAUGUUGUCAAAAAGGAACAUAAUGUAACCAGGAUCAUCUGCGUUUUUACCCAAAAAAAUGACAAGGAUAUUUGACCCCACACUGUAGAGUCAGGAUCAAAUGCAGAGAGCUCAGCCCCUCUACUGUUCUCUCAUGACCCCAGAAAAGUCAGAAUCCUCAGGCUGAGUGAUUUGGGGCAACGUAUGGCAUGAUACUGAGUGGGAGGACUCCGGGUUGAGUGAAGAAUGGAAAAUUCCCAUUUUUAUUGUGGCUCCAUAACUGGUGUGUUAAAGAUGAAAAAAAAGGGAUAGAAAUAAUGCAGACCAGAAUUGGGGGUGGCAGAACCAGGAAAGUCAGGGACCCCAGAAGUAGAAUUGAGAAAAAAAUACACUAGAGCAGCUCAAGAAAUAUUCCCAGUCAUCACCCCCCUGAUUUUCCAGAUAACAAAACUGAGGCUCAUAAAGUCAAAUUUCUGGCUGAAGUCCACAGUUAACAAAUCUGGGUCUCCUGGCUUCAUUCUAGCACUCUUUCCAUAUCCAGGGAUCAGAGAGAAGACCCUCAGAGGGAAGAGCCAAAAAGGGGGGAGAAAGGUCAUUUCUAUUCAAGUCCCAAGAUCUGUGAUUGGUUAGCUGGCAACUUACAACUUCAUGAAAGGAAACUUGAAUCUGAGAACUGUCACCAGGAGAAGGCCCAGGGGGUGGAAGCCCAGUGUUAAGACAACAAGAGGUUGGAAUUGAGCAAUGGAUGGCAGGAGUCCAGGCACCGGAAGGGAGCAAAUGCACCUGUUUGGGCACCGAAGCAUGACAGGACUUGGGCAGGUCUCACCCCAACAGGAGAGAAGCUGGAGGAGGACAGAAAGCAAAAGGCUUGAUUGAAAAAACUCACUUUACAACUCUAUCCAAGUUUCCAGCACAUCAGUGGAGGCAUUUUUUUUUCCCUUGCUGCCCAGCAUCUAAAUCCCUCUUCCUAAUUCUGAGGAAUCCGCCAUUGGGAGUCAGAGCAUUCUUCUGGCAUCAGCACAGCAGGAGUUAACCAGAGGACAUGAGCCCAGCAUAACUAUGCUGUAUCUUCUGAUUGGUAGCCAACACAUGCAGAGUACAGAAGCAAACAGGCAGAAAAUCUGUCACUUCUUGUCCUCAACUGCCAAAGAGACCACAUAGGUUCUAGGACCACAUCACCACCCAGGGCUCUGAACGGUGCAAAGUCAUAGAAGCAGUGAUGUCGGAUCUGUGGUGGUGGCUGAAGUGGUCUAGCAUUGAGAUCACUCUCCAAGGAUAGUGACCAUGGUUGACAAUGGUGGUGGCAUCCUGACCACGUUAUGUCUGCUACCUAACCACCAUGGUUUCCAAGACUGCUUCUCCUACCCUCUUACAGAUUCUGUGAGCAACCUUUCAUUAAUUUAUUUUCCACCGUUGUUGGUCAGCAUCCAACUGCAGGCACCUGGCUGACACAGGCACUAUUCCUCACCUGCAACAGGAGAAGCUAUGGAGUUUUAGAAGGCUAAGAUUCAGCUCAGUUGUGACUCUUACAAAGGCAGAUGUAAGAGCACUAUGGAAGAUGGAAAUGUUCACAGUGGAACACAUACUGGGGAAACACAUUUGCAGAACCAUCUGUUAUACUUGCUAAAACCACUUCUAUGAUGCUGGCAGAGAGAUUUGGCCAGAGAGUCCUGCCACUCUGCUCUCUGUAGGGACAGACCCACGUUCAAGUUGGAGGUUUAGAAACUUGCCCAGGGUCACAUAGGUAGCCAAGUGGCAGAAUGCUUAGAAGCUGUUGGGUUCAAUUGGGCUUUGAAACGUCAGGAAGAAAAGAGGCUUUGGUUCCUUUUAAAAAGAGGCAUUAGAGGGGGCUGGCCCCGUGGCCGAGUGGUUAAGUUCGCGUGCUCCGCUGCAGGCUCCGCUGCAGGCGGCCCAGUGUUUCGUUAGUUCGAAUCCUGGGCGCGGACGUGGCACUGCUCAUCAGACCACACUGAGGCAGCGUCCCACAUGCCACAACUAGAAGAACCCGCAACGAAGAAUACACAACUAUGUACCGGGGGGGGCUUUGGGGAGA